UCUGCACAUUGUUAGAGCUUGGGGUUGAGGCCACCGGUUGGCCGGUGAACUCACAGGUGUAGGUAGUGUGCUACACGAGGGGCAAGUUUCUCACGAACACCACGCGGGUCUCUGGCCCAAUGAGUGGCGUUUGACAGUAAUACUUGCUACAGGU
ensembl:snoRNA SNORA62 Small nucleolar RNA SNORA62/SNORA6 family